UGUAGCCCAAGAGCAAAAUGAAAGAAAAUCUUCGAUGGGCAAUAAUAAAUAAAGCGCAUUAACUUAAAAGAACAUUCAUAAAACAGUUAUGGCCACUUAUAAUACCAAUUGACCAACAUGCCAGUGAAAGUAGCAGUGCCACGCAAUGGACAUCAUGGGAAAAUAAGUAUAUUUUUAUAUUUUAAUAUUAAUAUACACUUCUAAAAAAAGCUGACCAAUAGGGAAAAACAAUAUUAUGUUUAUACAUUUAACCAAGUCUCGUAUAUUUCAUCAAAAUAAAUAUUGAAUGAAUACGUUAUUGUAAACCGGAGGGAAAAAUAUAUCGAUGUUUAAAUCGCCUAUUAAUGGCAGGUAAGCAUAAUUUUGACUAAUGGUUGUUUGAAAUAUAGUUAGUGUACGAUGAGUCUGAAUACAAAAUUACUACUAUGACCUAGUAUUAAAUAUAACGCAAUAAUAAUGACUCAUAAGGCAUAACCAUGGCAACUAAAUGUCAUCCCGCCAAAAAGAUAAUGAUGAUAAUAAUAUAGCUAUAUAGCAGAAAUUAAUGUUUUUAUAACAUUUUCAAAAAACUAAAUCCUUCAAAUGAGAAUGAUAUGUUCUUGCUCCGCAAGACAUGCCAGCCCGAUCUUUUUAUAAUGUAUAGUGAUGAACGAGUGUGUUGAUAUGCCUUCAGGAAUUAUGUAAAGCAUCUAAUUUAAUCAUUCAUUUGGUCGAUUAUUAUAUGAGCAGCACGAUUAUAAUUUAGUUGUGCAAUUCUUUUAUUUUUAUUUCUUGCAUUAGCAUAACUACUAAUUAUACAUUAUCAGUGAAAAAUAUUUAAUUAAUAUUCGUAUUAUUGUAAAAUGUACGGCGAUUGCCUAUAAACGAAGUUUAGACUUUGCAGUUAUAUAUACAUAUACUUGAAUAUAUGUAAAUAUAUUACAUUUUUUAACUCUGAUGUAUUACAAUAUGCGUCUGUGGUAGGUAUACGUACUUCAAGUGCACGUUGCACAAGCGAAGAAACACACCGAUGAUUUAAAAUUAAAAUUAAAUGUAAUGUGUAUGGUUUUGUGAUUUUGCAUAGAUAUUAGCCGCCGCAGUGACCUUUACAAAAUGCAAUCGGCGAUCGAUAGCAAUUAGAGAACGCGGAGUUAAAACUGCGAGACUGCGGAUAAAUCAAAGAUUUAUACACGUAAUGCGGCAUUUCCUCAAAUUCGUCCCAAACGACUGACGAGUCACUCGCCUUAGCCCGCGCCCACUGCAAUUCUGCGGUUUUAUAAUAUUAUCAUUGUUACAAAGCGUGAAUCGAAUCGGACUGCUGCAACAUAUUAUUUCCGCGCAGUGUGAAUUAUGUAUAAGUAUUUUAAAAAUGAACAUUUGUGACGAAGAGCAACUAUUCUCCGGAUUUAAAUCUAUACUCGCGACAACGAAAUUUCACGUCACACUUUGACUUUGCAGUACGCUAACAAUUGGGAGGGCGGCGGCGCUAUACUAAAACACGCCUGCGAUUAACCGGAGGAAGCAAUGAUUUUAUUGUCAUCGACAUAAUAAUGUUUUGUAGAAGUUAUAAUAUUAUUAGAUGUAAGUAUAUUACUUAAUGCGUCCCAAGGACAGAACAAUGGGCGACGAUUGAAGGAAGAAACCAUUAAUCUCUUUCUUGUCGUUCUUUGUCAUCCCGUGUCCAAAAAGGGCUGACAACUAAUUUGAGACUGAUAUUAUGUCGAUAACUGUGUCUCAUUAACACUAAUUAAUUUUCAUUGCAAUCGUAAUUGUAUCUGUAAUUUAUUAUUAAUAAGUCAAUAUUUCCUCACGUUUUUCUCGUAUCACUGAACAAUGUGCGAUUUUUUUUUUAUAAAUACUUACAUUGUUUAUCAUCGAUUUUCAUGCGAUUGUCAUGAUCUCAUCUAUAAGCGACGUUUAAUUUGGUUGUAGUCGUAAGUUUAUCGAACUCAGAUAAAAUUGCGCGUGCACUGCAGUAUAAUAUCCGUAUAAUAUUAUUAUUUAACAUACCUUCUUGAAAAGUCAGAUAUGCUUAAAAAAAUUAAAAUUCAUUAUUCAACAUGGACUAAUUAAAUUAGGCUUUGAUUGCAUUAUUUUAUUCAAAAAGCAUACAGUAAAUUGUAUAAAAUUAUAAUUUAGUAUAAGA